GACGAACCGUGCGAACGUUGUUCGGAAUCACUGGGCGUAAAGCGCACGUAGGCGGCUUCUUAAGUCAGGGGUGAAAUCCUGGAGCUCAACUCCAGAACUGCCUUUGAUACUGAGGAGCUUGAGUCCGGGAGAGGUGAGUGGAACUGCGAGUGUAGAGGUGAAAUUCGUAGAUAUUCGCAAGAACACCAGUGGCGAAGGCGGCUCACUGGCCCGGUACUGACGCUGAGGUGCGAAAGCGUGGGGAGCAAACAGG
rnacentral:rRNA from 1 species